AACGAACGCUGGCGGCAGGCUUAACACAUGCAAGUCGAACGCCCCGCCAAGGGGAGGUGGCAGACGGGUGGAGUAACGCGUGGGAAUCUACCUAGUUCUACGGAACAACAGAGGGAAACUUCUGCUAAUACCGUAUACGCCCUAAGGGGGAAAGAUUUAUCGGAAUUAGAUGAGCCCGCGUAAGAUUAGCUAGUUGGUGG
rnacentral:rRNA from 1 species